rnacentral:rRNA from 1 species
UUCGUAGGCGGUUUUUCGCGUCGGAUGUGAAAACUCAGGGCUCAACCCUGAGCCUGCAUUCGAUACGGGAAGACUCGAGGACGGCAGGGGAGACUGGAACUUCUGGUGUAGCGGUGGAAUGCGCAGAUAUCAGAAAGAACACCAAUGGCGAAGGCAGGUCUCUGAGCCGAUCCUGACGCUGAGGAACGAAAGCGUGGGGAGCAAACA